rnacentral:rRNA from 1 species
UAGGGAAUUUUCCACAAUGGACGAAAGUCUGAUGGAGCAACGCCGCGUGAACGAUGAAGGUCUUCGGAUUGUAAAGUUCUGUUGUCAGGGACGAACAAGUACCGUUCGAACAGGGCGGUACCUUGACGGUACCUGACGAGAAAGCCACGGCUAACUACGUGCCAGCAGCCGCGGUAAUACGUAGGUGGCAAGCGUUGUCCGGAUUUAUUGGGCGUAAAGCGCGCGCAGGCGGCUAUGUAAGUCUGGUGUUAAAGCCCGGGGCUCAACCCCGGUUCGCAUCGGAAACUGUGUAGCUUGAGUGCAGAAGAGGAAAGCGGUAUUCCACGUGUAGCGGUGAAAUGCGUAGAGAUGUGGAGGAACACCAGUGGCGAAGGCGGCUUUCUGGUCUGUAACUGACGCUGAGGCGCGAAAGCGUGGGGAGCAAA